UUAAAAAGUAAAUAAAUUUAUUUGAGUAGUAUUAGUUAUUUUCUUGAAACUAAAAAAAUUUGGCGGUAUUUUAGUCUAUUCAGAGGAACUUAUUUUUUAAUCGAUAAUCCACGAUGUACCUUACUUAAAAUUGUUAAUCAAUCUAUAUAUCGUUGUUAUUAGAAUAUUUUAUAAGAAUAAUAAUUUUCUAUAAUUUUUAUUAAAAUUAAUAUCAAAUCAAGGUGUAGUUUAUUUUUAAGAAUGAAUGAGUUACAAUAAAAUAUAUUUUUGAAUUUAAAUAUGAAAAAUUUAAUGAAAUUGGAUUUGAUAGUAAAUUUAUAAAGAUAAAUAAUUUGAUUUUAGCUCUAAAAUAUGU
rnacentral:rRNA from 1 species